AUUUGCCCUUACUGGGCUCGGUGGGUGAACUGGUCCUGGGAAAUGCAGGUACAGUGACCUCAACAAGGAGGGACAGACAGACAAUAGGUGGAAUCAUCAGAAAUAAUAAGGAAAGCACAGAUUUAUGCAGGCAUUUCAUGUUCCCAGAAGCUGUUCUAUACAUUUCAGAAACCAUUCUGAGUAUCUUUAUUACAGAAGAGAACUGUAUGGUUAAGACUCUUGAAGACAGCUCUGCACCGGUUUCAAGAAGUCUAGCAACUUUCUUUGCGUUUGCUCUUGGAACCCUGCCAUCUCUGCCCCUGAGAGAAAGCACGAUCUAGUCUCUUUGAAGAUGAAACGCUACUUGAGAAAGAGACUCAGCAGUCUCAGCAGAGCCUACCCCCAGGCUAAACUCAGUUAAACAGCGAUUGAAUGUUUCUCAAGAAGCAUUUAUUGCCCUGAGGCUUCGACCACUGUCAUUCUGAAUGUGGCAUUAUCAUCCACGGUGGAGACUAUGCACGCCUUGUCUCAAGCAGUCCUGCUGAAUCAACUCAAACAUGAAUCUGCUGGUGAAAGCUGCACUACAGCAGAAAAAGAGACAAGAAAGCCAUAUUUGGAAACCACAGUGUGCUGGGCUGAACUUCUGAGAACAGGAGAUGCCGAACCACUCCUUGGUGAAUUGGAUGUGAGAAGUGGAAAUCAAUGCUUCCACUAUAGAAAAGAAGAAGUGUGGACAGUUAUUUCUGGCAAACAAACCAUCAAAGAGAUUAUGUAGGACAUAUUAAUCACAAUUGGGUUGGUUAAAUUGGGAAAGAAACACUGACAAUACUGAUUUCUUAAGAGAAAAUGAACACAAAGCAAUACUGGAGCUAUACUUAUCCAACUUGAUUCCCUCUACUAAACAGCACCUGGAUAUGAAAAUAAGGACAAAAGGUACAAAGGAUCUAAUAACCCAGAGACAUCUGUCAGCUUUCACAGGAUCUUGUGACUAGUGACCAUGCACGGAUUAUACUCAGCAUAGUAAUGCUUAUUAAGAUAAAUAGUUAAGCUGUUAUUUUGAAUGGCAGACAUUUAUCCAUGCAGAGGGGCAAGGAUAGGUGUGGACACACAGAAGGCCAUAGAAGUGUAAGUUACCAUCCUUAGGGAUAGAUUAUUUAGUGCCUGGCAUAAUUUAGAGCCAUUUUUUUCCUCCUCAAUGAGAAGAGAAUGAGGCAAAUGUCAUUGUGUCCAUUUCCCAGAUGGUUAAAGGUAAGAGACAAGUGCUAAGGAAUUUAUGAAAAAAUGAAUCUAGAGAGUGAAAGAGGUAUAAAGACAUUGGCUAAGCCUGGGAUCAUGGAGUAAAUAUACCUGCUUUGUUAUCACUCACUCUACGAGCAUAUAUGAGCUAAUUAACCUUGCUUCUCCAUAGCUUCUCUACUCACUUUUUGACAGACUGUGAAAAAUAAACAUGACUCUGUGCCUCAAAUUCUUAGAUGGGUGCACAUAAGAAGUUUUCAAUAAAUGUGCGUUAGAGAAAGGAAAGAAGGAAGGAUUAAGGGAAGAAAGGCUGAAUCCUCAUUUUGUCAUCUGUCUUCUUUAUUAUUUCCUUCAUACCUAAAUAGUUAUCAGUGAAUAUAUUAUAGUUAUAACAUAAAGAUUGAAA